CAAAUUAAAGCUUAAAUUAAGUUUUUUAGUUACAUUAAAAGGAUUAUCUAUAUUGAUAUAAUUUGA
rnacentral:tRNA from 1 species